rnacentral:rRNA from 1 species
AUUGAACGCUGGCGGCAUGCCUUACACAUGCAAGUCGAACGGCAGCACGGGUGCUUGCACCUGGUGGCGAGUGGCGAACGGGUGAGUAAUACAUCGGAACAUGUCCUGUAGUGGGGGAUAGCCCGGCGAAAGCCGGAUUAAUACCGCAUACGAUCUACGGAUGAAAGCGGGGGACCUUCGGGCCUCGCGCUAUAGGGUUGGCCGAUAGCUGAUUAGCUAGUUGGUGGGGUAAAGGCCUACCAAGGCGACGAUCAGUAGCUGGUCUGAGAGGACGACCAGCCACACUGGGACUGAGACACGGCCCAGACUCCUACGGGAGGCAGCAGUGGGGAAUUUUGGACAAUGGGCGAAAGCCUGAUCCAGCAAUGCCGCGUGUGUGAAGAAGGCCUUCGGGUUGUAAAGCACGUUUGUCCGGAAAGAAAUCCUUGGCUCUAAUACAGUCGGGGGAUGACGGUACCGGAAGAAUAAGCACCGGCUAACUACGUGC